AUUAUUAAAAAAUAUAUAUAAAUUAAUUACAACAAUAUUUCAUCAUUAUAACAAACAAAUAGAUGAGACUCCAGCAUUAAAGAAAAUAUUCCUGAAAUUUUUUCCACAAACUCACUUACAGACAUACCACAACACUUAAUUAUAUUCAACAACUACUAAAAAAAAACCAAGUAUUUUACACACAGUAAUUACAAGAAAAUUAACAAAAGAAAAAAUUACCAAAAAAAUAUAUAUAAAAAACUUAUAUUUAUUCCGAUUAUACACCUUUAAAAAAUGAAAAGAUAAAAAAAACAAACACACUGAACUUAAACCGGAAGAAGAAAAGUAAGAAAAAAACUAAAAAUUUUUUUGCCAAAAUAUCGUAAUAAAAAAAUAUAUAUUUAUUAACUAAUGACAUUAACAACAAAAAAAAAACAAAUUAUAUUACAACUUAGUUUUGUUAGAGAUUAUUGAAGUAAAAAGAAAAAAAAACAAAAAUAAGAAAAAAUCUCAAAAAUAUAUUAAAAAUUAACAAAAAAACUUUAAACAUUUUUAUUUAAAUAAACAAAAAAGUAUAUAUAUAUUAAAGAAAAAAAUGACUGGCAAGUGACCAAAAACGAUCUGGGUUUUCAAAAACAAAAAAUUAAUAAAUAACAAAAAAAUAUUUAAGUAAAACAAAAAUAAUUUUUAUACAAACAACAAGUAAAAAAAAAUUAUAAUGGGAAUUUAUAAACAAGUAAAA